rnacentral:rRNA from 1 species
AAUUUGAAAUCUGGCCCCCUCGGGGUCCGAGUUGUAAUUUGUAGAGAGCGCUUCGGGUGAGGUCGCGGUCUAAGUCCAUUGGAACAUGGCGUCGUAGAGGGUGAGAAUCCCGUAUGCGACCGCGGACCGAGCCCAUGUGAAGCCUCUUCGACGAGUCGAGUUGUUUGGGAAUGCAGCUCAAAAUGGGUGGUAUAUUUCAUCUAAAGCUAAAUACUGGCUGGAGACCGAUAGCGCACAAGUAGAGUGAUCGAAAGAUGAAAAGCACUUUGGAAAGAGAGUCAAACAGUACGUGAAAUUGUUGAAAGGGAAGCGCUUGCAACCAGACCUGCCCGGGGGCGAUCAGCCGCUGUUCUCAGCGGUGCACUCGUUCCCCGAUCAGGCCAGCAUCGGUUUCGGCGGUCGGACAAAGGCCCCGGGAAUGUAGCUUCCCCCGGGGAGUGUUAUAGCCCGGGGCGCAAUGCGGCCAGCCGGGACCGAGGACCGCGCUUCGGCUAGGAUGCUGGCGUAAUGGUUGUCAGCGACCCGUCUUGAAACACGGACCAAGGAGUCUAACAUCUAUGCGAGUGUUUGGGUGUCAAACCCACGCGCGGAAUGAAAGUGAACGGAGGUGAGAACCCCCCGGGGCGCAUCAUCGACCGAUCCAGAUGUCUUCGGAUGGAUUUGAGUAUGAGCAUAGCUGUUGGGACCCGAA